rnacentral:rRNA from 1 species
UACAGAGGUCCCGAGCGUUGUUCGGAUUCACUGGGCGUAAAGGGUGCGUAGGUGGUGAGGUAAGUCGGAUGUGAAAUCUCCGGGCUCAACCCGGAAAUGGCAUUGGAAACUACCUUGCUAGAGGGUUUGAGGGGGGAUUGGAAUACUUGGUGUAGCAGUGAAAUGCGUAGAGAUCGGGAAGAACAUCGGUGGCGAAAGCGCUCUACUGGACGGUAUCUGACACUGAGGGACGAAAGCUAGGGGAGCGAAUGGG